rnacentral:lncRNA from 1 species
AAAUGGCAUGAAUUUGGAAUUCUUGCAUUUGCAGUAAGGAUUUGGGAGUGUGAAAAGAGAAUCAUUGAAGUUAUGUUCAAUUGAUCUAGUUCACAAAGUAAAGAUCAUAGACAAACAUAGUAUGCAUACUUGGUGUAUGGCAUGACUAGUGUUUAGAAAACAUAGUGUACAUGCUUGGAGCAUGGGACAACUAUUGUUUUUAAUUCAAGAAUAAAGUUGAUAGCUGAAACAGUAUAUAAUGAAUAAUGUGUAAUCAUAUGGUGAUAAAUAAAAGGUGUUUUAUUUAUAUUCAUAAGUUCUGAGACCAUAUUAGAAUCCAUUAUUAUUGUGUUUCAUUUUGCACGUUUUGACUUCCAGAAUAAACUAGGUCAUUGCUAUGGAUGACUAAGUUACUCAAACUAUCCACAAUCGGUCAUAUGUUGGAAGUAGAUAUGAAUCAAGAUUGUCAUGGGUUGGCUUGUAGAGGUCUAAUAUGUUGGACAAAGGGCUACAACACUCAUGAGUGCUCAUAACUUCUGAGUAUUGGGUUCAAACCACGCUCAUUGGAAUCACUUCAUGGAUUUAAUCACGAGUGAUCAUGAGACGAUAAUAUCUUAUAUUCUUCAAACCUAGAUAUAUGAGUUGUUACUAUGAGUUGAUAGUACAUUGAUUGCACGAAAACGCAUUUGGUAACUCGGUGCUAUAAAACGUGCCUUUGUGUAUGAUUCAACAAGUAGUAGAACAAGCCAUAUGAGUCGAAGUUUAUCCAUUCCUUUUACCUUCGGGAUAAAAGCGAUAUCUGUGGGCCCCUCGAUGAUUUGAUGAUGACAAAUGGAAGUGCUCGGCCGGGCCAGGACUGAUUUGAUUUGUUCAAUUAUUUGUUCAAUUAGUCAGUCGUCAUAAAUCGGAAAUCGGGAAACAACAAAUGGACAGAGAGAAUGAUUAUAAUCCAUAUGAUAUCUAGAAUGGAGGAAUAUAUGAUACCUUAUCUAAUGGACUAGCCAUUGACAAAGGUCAGAGUUCAUCUCAGACCUCGACAGAAGCUUUUGAGAGCUACGAUUGCUGAUCGGUUCCUGAAGUCAUACGCAAUAAUAGUUUUAGACUUAUCCAAGUGGGAGACUGUUGGAUUAAUGUCUAAGUCCAUAACUAUAAUUGGUAAGACUUGACCCGACCCGGCAUGGUCCAUUUGGGUUGCAUACCAUCAUGCACUUGGAUAGACUAUAAUGAGAGAAAUAAGACACUUAUGGUUAUUAAUAUAUUAUAAGUUCUAGUAUAUUAAUAAUAAGAAUAAUAAGAUUAUUUAAUUAGUAUUGAUCAAGAAUUAAUCUAGGAUUAAUUAAGUGAUCAAAAGAAGACUAAUUAAAUAUAUGGGUUGAUUAUGUAAAUCAUCCAUACUUAUAUAGUGGGCUAAUGCUCCAUGGGUUAUCUAGUGGGGCUAAAACCCAUAUGAUGCUCCAUGUUGUUUUUGUACCCAUGGAUCAUGGAAAUGAAAGGCCAUGUUAAUAAGGGUUUACAUGGUGUAACCCUAACUAUAUAUGCAUCUCAUUCUUGACAAAAAUCAGCCACUAGAGAGAGUAAGAAAGGGCUAGCCGAUUUUCAUGAAGUGUAGAAUUCUCUCAAGUUAUUCCAAGUGUAUUUGGUGUUGUGUGAACCAUUUGAGGUGUCACACUUGAGGCACUUGGCACUCAAGCUUCAUGAAGACUUUCUACAUGAAAGAGGUAUGUAUUCUAUCUUGUUAUAUUCAUUGUUUUGUAUGCUAGAUUAGGAUAAUACCUUGGAUGUUCAUAUUUGUAUGUAUAAUAGAGAAAACAUAGAUCCAAGGUAUUUAGGGUUGCAUGUACACUUAGGAGUGUUAAAAUGCUCAAAACCCAACAACUAGGGGCCCCGGUACAUUGGUCCGUUCAGGGUGACCACGAGGGUGGGCAGAGUAGCAUACCGUUUGGAGCUACCUGCGGAGUUAAGCCAGAUUCAUGAUACCUUCCACGUGUCUUAGUUGAAGAAGUUUAUAGCCGAUGAGUCGGCGGUGGUGCCAUUGGUAGAUAUUCAAGUGGAUGCGAGGCUGAAUUAUGUUGAGAGGCCANUCGGAAGAUCAAGGUUCUGAGGAACAAGGAGGUGCCCCUGGUUCAAGUCCUGUGGCUACACCGGAGAGGGACUGAGCUGACCUGGGAGCCGAAGUUGGAGAUGCAGGAGCAACAUCCAAAGUUGUUUGCACAGCAAGACUUCGAGGGCGAAGUCUGACUCCAAUGGGGGAGAAUUCUAACAUCCGUAUUUCCAGGUAUUAUGUUUGAUCAUUUAUUUUUUUGAGUAAAAGAGAGGGACUCGACGAGCUGAGGCGUAGACUCGUCAAUGUUUGGACUAUUGAGCCAUUGGAGCGGUAGAAUGGUCUUUUACCCUUCUUAUAGAGUUUAGAGAGGGAUUAGCCUAGUCUUUGAAAGUCGUAUUGAUUAGAGUAAUUAUUUUAUGUGAUUAGGCGGAGGCUAGAUCAGUAUUUCCGAGUUCAAGGGUUACUGAGUUAUCUGAGGUGAGUCUUCUCACUAUACUUUACCUUGAGUGGUAAUUAGAGUUAUGUGACAGAGUAUAUUGUGUGUUAUGUAUGUGAUGUGUUGCACUACAUUAGUUCUAUUUGAUUUAUGUUGUAUGUACUCCAGAGUUUACAAAGUUAGGACGAGAGGGACCACAGAGUUAGGGCCAUAGGGUCCACAGAAUUAGGGUCAGAGGGUCCACAGGUUUGACAGGACUAUAAUUCUCCCUUCAUUAAAAGUAUUAAUGAUAAAUACUAAGUAACUAAACUCUUAAUAAUACCCAAUCUUAGUUACUUAGGAAAAAUGUGAAUAAGGUGCUAAUCCAUGAAAUUACACUUUACACUUUGUCUAAGUCGUUAGUGGAGCGUGUGUGGUUAACCGGCACACUAACUUGGACUUAACAAGGUAGGUAAAGGGUGACUUAAUAUUUAUCAUAGUAUCGAUGGAGCGUGUGUGGUUAACCGGCACAUCGAUUGAGGGGUAAUUUAUUAAGGGUACCAAGUGAUUUGCAUGGUUACUUCACACCUUGUUUUGUGAUCCUCGGCAUCCCAGUCACAAAACCUGAAGGGCACACUCGAGAUUGAAACAUGCCAUUGAAAAGUUCAAUGAAUCUCAAAGAUCUAGGAGUUUCAAAAACCAAUUAAAACCUAAUAAUACAUUUCGUUUAUCUUGGUGGAAAUUGGUGAAUCGUCAUUCACCUACCUUCGAAUAUUUUAUAGCUUGGAUUAUGGCAUCCCUCUUCUAAGUUAUAAAACAGUUUGUUGGGUCCUGGCCUUAAUAUUUCAUAUCGGGUGUCAUAUUAAGGACUUUAAAUCAACUAUCUUGAAUAUCUCCCAAAAAGAUGUCUACUUUAGACAUUUAUGAUCUUCCUAAAUCUCUUGAAACAAGCUUUCCUAAAUGAAGAUGAUGUCCCAUGGAAAUCAUACUUCUUUCACCUACUCCAAUUAUUCUCCCUAACCCACAAGUUCUUGAAAAUUUUAAGGUCACUCAAGCCCUAUUGGCAAGCAAAGGUCUAUGUGUGAUCACAUCUUGGAGAUGUAGUCACAUAUUGACAAGCCGGGAGAGUUGGGUGUCAAAGUGUUGAGAAAGUUGGUGCCUCAACUACUUUCUAAGUCACAUAGUGAGUUCCUUUGGGACUCCUACGAAACAGAGUAUGACAAGACCCUUAAUGAUCUUAUCUAUUUGCUAAGAUCAACUUCCUAAAACUUGUGGACAUUGACAAUAAUAGCAUUGGAUAUCCACUAAAGCUCUCUCUUUCCAAUGGAAUGGGAUCGGCCAUAGUCAACUCGGUUGACCAAAUGGUAAAGAGAGAGGCUAAGUCUGAGAUAGUCCCAUUAUUAAGGGUCCAUAGGUAACUAUUGCCAAAGGAAGGGGCAUUGGUUGCAAAGCUGCCAAAUUUACCUAAGGAUGUUAAAGUCAAUAAGUUUUUCUCUACUUCAGGUAAAGUCAAUUGUCUAACUCUAUUAAGUGCAUGCUGAUUCUGAUCGCAAAGAUGGAUUUCAAUAGCAUAGUUUGAAGAUCAGAUUGUUGAGAACUUUCAAGUAUUGGAAAGAUUCUCAUCACCCAAGUUUGAAUUGGACCGGAACUUGGAAUCAUGCAAGUUGUAUAGCAUGAUGAAUGAGAAGUUUCAAGUAUUGGAAAAUUAAGACUAAUUACUUGUUCACAUGGAUGUGUGAGUCAAGUGAAGGACUAAGGGAUCGAGUACACAUUCUUGUGCAUUGGUCAAGUCCACCACAAAAGAUCGAUAAGAUUAUUCGUCAUAAUUUACUAAAGCUUAGUAAAUAUGGUUAUACUUACAAGCUUAAGUGUAAUUAUGAGACAUUGGAAAAAGGUUCCAAUGUAAGGCAGAGCGAAUAAGAAGAAUCAAAUUAGGCAGAAGGAUAAAAGUUUCUCAAAUCUAAAAAGAUGGGAGAGUACUUUAGUAUCAGGUUUUAUGAUCAUCUUACUGAUUUAGAGACCUUAUCACAAUUCAUCCUCUAAGUGCCCUAAGAAGAGGAGCUAUGAAUUGCCGAAGUGGUUAAAUCAAGAAGAUGAGUCAUACUUCGUUCCAAUACAAGUCUUAGAGUCAUACUCCAAGAUUGUAAUUUCAGUGAAAUGUCUUAGAGAAGGUUUAAAACACAUGGCAAAUGUAAGAGUAAAGUUUUCUACUCUUGUACAUUUGAAAUUGGAAAGUUGUGAUGUUUUGGAUAAAACAAAGAGAAACUAAGGCCAAUUGUGUGAAGUGUUUGUCUUGAUUAGAAUACACACUAUCUCUUGAAUAUCUGACAAGAGAGUCUUAUAUGUCAGGAGGACAGUGGGAGUCUUAAAAGUCUUGAAAGUCUCAAGAACUAAUCAAGAACAAAACCUGAAAUUCUUCACUAGCACACGACUUGAGGAUCAUAACCUAUCGUGUUGACAUAUUCUGUGCCCAUUCCAAUUAAAUUUGGCUUUGCAUAUGAGUUCUUAGAGUUCUCAAUUGGUUUCACAACAACUUGGAAGCAAUGGCAGGCCCUUGAGCUGCCAGGUGGCAAGAAAUUAAGAUUGAGUUCAGUCCAUAUGAGUUUGGAUUUGUCAUUAACCUUUUCUUGUGACUAUGGUUUUGACAAUUCACAUGGAUAAGAACACAUACACCAUUAAAUCUAAGUUCCAUAAGGUUUCUCUCCAUUCAUGAAAAUGAUGGUGAGGAAACACUUUCACUAAGUAGAUUUUAGUUAGAUAGUAAUUGUGAUAUUUGCAUUCUCAAAGUCGUUAGUGGAGUGUGUGUGGUUAACCGACACACUAACCUGGACUUGUGAGAAGUGGCAAAAAGUUAUAACCGUUAUGAUUACGACAUCCCUCUUCAUAAUUGUUUAGACACACCUAUCAGCUAUCUAAGGGAAGGUGUAUGAUUUUGAUAAAGUUUUAUCAAAACAAUCUAGUAUCAGAAAUCUGAACUUUGGUAAGAAAGUCAGCUGAUUUCUGAGUACAUGUCAAAGCUAGUGGGAACAUAAGUGUCAUGCUAAUAAUCAUCAUGUUAGUGGGAGCAUGAUAAUUAUGAUAAAGGUUGCAAGUUAGCAAUGUUAAUUAUAGAAAACAAAAGUUUCAAUUGGGAAAAAGUUGUUUUGCUAUAAUUAAGGGAGAGGAAAUUAUACUUCAUCUCAAAUCUAUAAGCUUAGAUCGUGAGGUUUUAAUCAUUUAGUCAAGGAUAUAUAUGAAUUUCAUGUUGGAAUGGCUCAACAUAAGGAAAUUCUGUAUAUGGGUCCAUUAUUUGCGUUCUAAAAUUCGAUUAUGAUUACGGCAUCCCUUUUCAUAAUCUGAAUUAUGAGAACUUGGCAAAUUGAAAUGGAAAUAUUAUAGCAAAAGACUGGUUUAGUCUUUAUGUGAGACAUCAUGAAUCGUGUCCCAUAUGCUUCGGAUAUAGGAUCGAUUACAUGUGCUAUAUUCAUCCGUUCUAAAAUUUUCCAAAUGCCUGGGGCAUUAAGAAGGGAAAAGGUUUAGAACUGGAUAUGACUAAAAGGAUUAAACAAUUGUCGAGGACAAUCUAAGGUUUACCAAAGAUUGGUUGCUCAAGGACAGUUGGAAGUAUAGUGAUAAUUCUGGAAGGACCAUAUUGACAUAAUCUGUAAGGAGGCAACUCUUGUUCAGAAGUGAUAGUCAAAAUGGAAUCUGGAAAUGUUUCAAAGUUAGAAUUUUCAAUCUGUUUAAGAUUAGGAAACUUAAUGCAAGAAGGAUGUUUCCAAGGAGCUGAUCUCCUUUGGAAUACUCUGUAAUGAUUGUUGUCAAGUCUUUCUGACUUUGUGCAUAAUCAUUACAAGAGGAUCAAUGCAUAUAAGUUUAGAAUCUAACAGAUUUCAGUAAAUGGCAUGAAUUUGGAAUUCUUGCAUUUGCAGUAAGGAUUUGGGAGUGUGAAAAGAGAAUCAUUGAAGUUAUGUUCAAUUGAUCUAGUUCACAAAGUAAAGAUCAUAGACAAACAUAGUAUGCAUACUUGGUGUGUGGCAUGACUAGUGUUUAAGAAAACAUAGUGUACAUGCUUGGAGCAUGGGACAACUAUUGUUUUAAAUUCAAGAAUAAAGUUGAUAGCUGAAACAGUAUACAAUGAAUAAUGUGUAAUCAUAUGGUGAUAAAUAAAAGGUGUUUUAUUUAUGUUCAUAGGUUUUGAUACCAUAUUGGAUUCAAUUAUUAUUGUGUUUCACUUUGCAUGUUUUGACUUCCCGAAUAAACUAGGUUAUUCUUCCGGAAUGACUAAGUUAUUCAAACCAUCCACAGUCGGUCAUAUGUUG